UUGGGCAUCUUUGCUCCAUUCCAGUUGGUGUUUUCGUCAGUGUCUCAAGUUGUAGCGCUAAUUCAUUACAAAUUUAUGUGCUUCCCCGUAACCUAGAACUGUAAGAGUUGUAUCACUCACUGGAAAAUCUCUUUAGAACUGAAAAAUAAGUCGCACCUGCUUCUUCCUUCUCCAUGACAAAGAAAGAUUGUUGAUUCAUUCGAAACCCUUGCCNGGGCUCCAUACGAGAUGAAAACCCUAGUCGAGGUCCACCACUCGUGCUUCAAUCGCUCGCGGCUCGACAGCUCACGCCUCCAAACGAGGUGAAAACCCUAGCCGAAGUUAUUGAGGGUUAGAACAACUCUUGCUCUAUCAUCAAGUGCAGGAAAUGUCGAGUGUUGGAAAGACAAAGAGGAUUGNAGAGACACGACGAUUUUGUGCCUCCUCGUGGCAUAAAUGGAAAAGUUCACCAAAACUAGGUGAAGAUUAUAAAGUGUCUUGUUGAGAAUAUUGUGGUGGACAUUUCAUUUAACCAACUUGGAGGAUUGACCACCCUUUGUUUUCUUCAGGAGGUAUAUUGGUGAUUUAUACUAUUCUAUAAUUGUCAUUUUAUCUACAUAUUUGAAUUUUAAUUCUGAUACUGAGUUUUAAUGUAUUUACUGGAGUUUUAUGUUUUUUUUGCUAUAGGUUGAUAGGUGGUAGUGGAGUUAGUUUAGUUNGAGCUUCUUUGAAGGGAUUAUGUACGGUUUGUUGUUUGCUGCAGGGGAAGANAAAGGAAGGAAAUGCUGCUAAGUUUGUCAUUUGUAAUUAAGCAUGCCAUCUUCUAGGUGUCCAUUUAUUUUAUAUUUUCUUGUGUUAUGUUUCAACCAUAAUGAAAAUUAUUUACUGAAGAUGCAGUAUCCAUUUCCUAGCAAUAUUAAAUAAACAGUACCUUAUUUCAUUUUAUUGAAUCCUAUUUUUCUUUCUUUCAAUUAAUUGAAUUCCUGACAUUGACCUACUUUAAUUGCAAUACUCAUCUGGUUGACAUUGUUUUAUGUUUUGAUAAGUGUUCUUUUCUUCAGGGACUUUACGACGGAGAUAUGUCCAUGUUUAUUGAAGGUAUCAUAAGUUAAUUGUAGCAUGUUAAUAUUGUUAUAUAAAAUAUAAACAUUUAUGAUCUCUCAUNCGUUUCAUUCUCCCUUCAAAUUUCAAGUACAAUUGUGAUCUCUCUUCCGAUCUUCCUUCUUCUAGAAGAAGCGCUAUGAUCUUUCCUUGAUAAAACAACGAUAGGAGUGCUUUUCAAUCAUAGUUUGAUUUCAAGUGUCCAAGACAACCCAAUGACAAUGAUUGUGGAUAUUAUGUGUCAAUAUAUGAAGAGAAUUAUCACAUAUUGUGAAAGAGGAACAA